rnacentral:tRNA from 1 species
GUAUACAUAAUUUAAUUAAAAAUACUAGAUUGUGAUUCUAGCCAUGAAAGUUCAAUCCUUUCUGUAAACC